rnacentral:lncRNA from 1 species
AGAAUUUUUGUUGGUUGCGUUUCAUGGGAGAGGGUUUUGCACGCGAGGCGGAUUGGGAUUUUCGCUGUCCGGAAGUAUUAUGUGUGGGCUUGAAGUGUGUGAGGAAACGUGACGAGAUUCGUGCAAGGGCGCUUGGCCAGGAUAGGAAUUUUCCACGGGCAGGCGGCGGGUUCAAAAUCCGGACGGCGUUGGUAGGUGCGCGGGGCGUCGCGGUCCCGGGGAGGCGUGGACGUGUGAACGCGCCGGUUCGCCAAUUUGUCCGCUCGGAAAAAUGUGCAGAAGUUGGCGUGAGAUCGGAAUGUGCGAAAAAUUGGCUGCCACCAUCUGAAGCGGGCCUGACAGGUCUGGCGUGGAAAGGCUGGUCGGCGGAAGGCCAGAUGGUCGACUUUGGCUGGGUUUGCGGUGGUCAACGUCUGCUUCCCGGUCUGGGCUGUUAAAGGGAGCGAUUUGGACGUUACGUACAUCAUCCCGCCCCCUUGCGUCCGCGGCUGGUGUUUCGCGUGACCGCGUGUCAAGGCAGCGUACGUGCUGGGAAAGAUAGCAUGGGCGCCGCCUGGCGUGACGGGCGACGUGAUGUCAGGGGCCGGGUACCCGUGAGAUGGUCUUCUCACGCUCGAGGUCUUCGUGGGUUCGGCGCCAGCUCAUCUGUCCAAGGACAGCGAUAUCCUUUAAAGUUUCGCCGUCUCCCUGCAGCGAUACGCCAGGGGUCUCAGAUUAUCUCGUUACGUCACUUGGGCAUCGCCUGCUGGAGACUGUAAUGGCUGUCGUAAUUGACCUUGAAAAAUGUUAACUUUGAAUUUAUAAUGCCGGCAACAUUGGCGGUCGCUUGAAGUCGUUUGGAAGUGGGUUCGGCAGGCGACCGGGCACCGCUCCCUGCAUCGCGCCUUGCAUUCUCCGAGUCCAAUUACUUGAAUCACACCAGAUUGUCGCAUAUUCUUUGGAUAUUUAGCGAGCCCCACCCCGGUCUGCAUCAGAGGUUUACAAACUUGCAAUUUCGCGAGCUGUAAGAUUAUGUCAAUUGUUUUGUGCAACUUCUCCGUAUUGAAUGAAUAAAUAUUGGUCAAGCGAGGAUCUGCGACGGUUCCUGGAGACUUCAUUGCCCCAAUUUUAUCCCACAAUUUACCCUCAGAGUCGCUAUUAAUGGUGCAAAAAGUAGAAUUUCCUGUUAAGGUUUGUUGCACAUUAUUGAGGGAACUUUUCAGGUAAUUCGCUUCAUUGAGGAUGUACUUUAACUCUGUGUGACACCGAGUUUAAUCGCCAUAAUAAAGACAGUGCGAAACAUCUGGAAUUUCUUACACGUGCACUCUAUCCUCCUUCCUGCGCUCCUCAUUGGCAUUACCCUGGGUUUGUUUGCUUAUUUAUGUAUUCUGUGUAAAUUUCAUUUAAAUUUUUCUCGAGAAUUCAUUACAAUCCUUGUCAUCAUCCUAGAGUUAUUUUGCGUGUUGUGUGAGUGGAAUGAGUGUGGUUCCGACAUUGAAAAUUGGUUCUUGAAUUAUAGUCAUAGUUUUUGUUGAUAAAGGUUGCAUUUCGGCUAUUUUCUCUGGCUGAGAUAUUCUUUAUCCUGUUCGAGAAAUACAAGCCCUCUCUAUACGCCUUUGUAAAAUACAGGGCAUCUGCGUCGUUCCUUUCGUAUUAUUAUUUCUCCCGUUUCGUCUUCAAUGGUACAGCAUUUCGGUAAAAUUGACAUCGCACUGAAUGUUCUGCAAGUGGUAAUUCCACAUCAUCGGGACGAGCACAAAUAUGCAUCCAAACAUCUAUGAGGCCAUGAAGACUCGGCGUAUCGAGAUCGAAACACUGUCAUUCAAUUAAAUAUGCUGUUGUAUUUUCAAGGUUUUAUAUGAACAAAUUCUAAUUAAAAUGAAUUUAAUGUC